rnacentral:lncRNA from 1 species
AUGCCGUUUUCUGUCGGGAGCUCAGAACCCAAAAGAUUCCAGCUCCAUCCUUUGAGACAACCUCCGAAGUGGCAUCUCUCCUCAAACCCAACUCCGAUCGCUGACACUUUUAACUUUGGGUUUUUCGACUUUAGCAAGUCUUCGGACAGAAGCACGCAGAAAAUACAGAGUAAUGCACCAAAUGAAAUUAGCUGGAGAGCCCUUGAUGGCGCAGAAUCACGGCUUGAAGAUGUUUACACUCCACGCCGGACGCGUUUGAUGGUGUUCUCUUCGGCACAAUUAAUUUUGCAAAGUUCAGAAAUGUGCCAGAUAGAGCCCCUGGCACGCAGAGUCACAGGGCCCUGCAGACACACCUUCAAUAGGAAGCCAGCUUGUUUGUGUCGUUUGUGAUUUAUUUGAUACACCAGCACCAAGGCCCAUGUGUUUUCUAGAGACGUUUGGGUGAAAUUCUAAGCAGUUUCUAAAUCGGCGAAAUGGAGUUUAUUUUCUGAAAUAACAUUUCCCUGUUGAUAAUGUGACUAAAAUGGGCAACAAGACACGUGCAAGAACGUUAAUUCAAAGUAAGCUUCCGAGACAAAAACGUGCAUUUCACAGUAAGAGGUGGUCCCUAUUAGUGUCCUACUGGCCAACUCCAUCCACGUGCAUAUUUAGAACACCAAAAAUGAAUGCUUCCUAUUUUGUCCCUAAGAUCUUGUCUGGAAAACAUGCUUCUACUAAGUGUACCUGAAGCUCUGUUUAAGAUGUACAGCACUGCUUUUUGUUUACCCCCAUUCUUGAGCCCAUGAUGGUUUGGGAAAUUUAUCAGUAUUCCAUAUUGGAGAAUCCUCUGUCUUUUCCAAUAAGCACAGUGCCUAGGGCCCAUAAUAGUUUUAGGGGCCCGCAAAAAUGGUCUAAUUUCAAAUCAGAAGGGAAGAAAUUAACAUUGAGGUUUAAGAAAGUAUUUCAAUAUAUAUUAAAGUAUUUGUCUUUACAUUAAUACAAUGUUAAAAUACAAUUUUUAAUUUUGUUUUAACCGAGGAAGGGAUUCAACAAAGGCAAAAGUGCCUAGGGCCCCAAAAAUGAUGCGGUCUCAUUGCCUGGGAUUGAAAAAAGUUCCUUUUCAUGAAACAAAUUUGCAGUUUUAAGCACGUAAAAUGCUAACUUCUGUGACUGCUUUCCAGCUAGGAAGUAAGAAAGAAAGAAAAAAAGGAAAGCUAAAUGGAGAAAGGAAAACAUUUGGGAGCAAUAAUGCUUAACCUAGCAUCCAUUGGGUAUACACACCAUGUACCCGGAACUGUUCAUUACUCAUUUAAUCCUCCAGACACACCUGUAAAAUAGGUACUGUUAUCAUACCUAGGCGUUGAUGCAGGUUUUUGUUAGGCCUGAAAUUUAUGCAUUUGGGGUAGUCCUCUUAAAAAAAAAAAGAAAAAACAAAUGCAGCAUACUCAUCCUGCUGCAGCGACACCCAGCACAAGAGAAUGUGACAGAGGAAAAAACCCAUAUGCAAAAGGACCUCAGUCUCAGCUGAUUGUGGUUAAAAUAUCUUACUUUUGCCAAGUGCACAAAAAUGUACAACCAUGGAAAUGUAUUGCCAGGGUUCCUGCCUCCGCCUUGAAUGGGGAUCUGGAGAAGAUGCCUUGAAACUAAGCUUUAAUUAGCUUCACUGAAAACUACCUCUGAUGUAUACCCAGUUCAUAGGGCAAGAAACUUGUGAAUUUGCUGCAGCUUCUAAGGAUCACCAUAGUGCUCACCCCAUACACCCCAUACCCGGGUCUGGUUUGAAGAGGCGGGUAUAUACACUUCUCACAAGAAAGAAUGGAUUUUAUAUUUCUACACCAAGGCAAUGGCUUUAAAAAUACAUUAGCAAUAUUCUGAUUACGACUAGGCCAUAAUUCAGUUCACUUGAUAUGAUCCUAUCUGUGCUGACAGGAGUAAAUUUUUAACUAUUGUGUAAAAAGAUGUAUUAACUCCACUGUAGAUUCUUAAAGGAAUCUCAGCUUAAUUUCAAGCUCCAUGGAGUUCACUCAGCUUUAGGUGUCAUAGGCUAGUCAACCUGUAGAUACUGUUUUAUGUAGUAUUUACUUUUUUUUUUUUUUUUUUUACAAUUUCCUGAGAUGUUGCAAAAUAA